rnacentral:tRNA from 2 species
GGAGAGUUGGCAGAGCGGUUGAAUGCACCGGUCUUGAAAACCGGCAGGGCCUCGCGGUCCUCGUGAGUUCGAAUCUCACACUCUCCGCCA